UGGGGAAUAUUGGACAAUGGACCAAGAGUCUGAUCCAGCAAUUCUGUGUGCACGAUGAAGUUUUUCGGAAUGUAAAGUGCUUUCAGUUGGGAAGAAACAAAUGACGGUACCAACAGAAGAAGUGACGGCUAAAUACGUGCCAGCAGCCGCGGUAAUACGUAUGUCACAAGCGUUAUCCGGAUUUAUUGGGCGUAAAGCGCGUCUAGGUGGUUAUAUAAGUCUGAUGUGAAAAUGCAGGGCUCAACUCUGUAUUGCGUUGGAAACUGUAUAACUAGAGUACUGGAGAGGUAAGCGGAACUACAAGUGUAGAGAUGAAAUUCGUAGAUAUUUGUAGGAAUGCCGAUGGGGAAGCCAGCUUACUGGACAGAUACUGACGCUGAAGCGCGAAAGCGUGGGUAGCAAACAGG
rnacentral:rRNA from 1 species